GAUGAACGCUGGCGGCGUGCCUAACACAUGCAAGUCGAACGAAGCACCUUACCUGAUUCUUCGGAUGAAAGUUUGGUGACUGAGUGGCGGACGGGUGAGUAACGCGUGGGUAACCUGCCCUGUACAGGGGGAUAACAGCUGGAAACGACUGCUAAUACCGCAUAAGCGCACGAGGAGACAUCUCCUUGUGUGAAAAACUCCGGUGGUACAGGAUGGGCCCGCGUCUGAUUAGCUGGUUGGCAGGGUAACGGCCUACCAAGGCAACGAUCAGUAGCCGGUCUGAGAGGAUGAACGGCCACAUUGGAACUGAGACACGGUCCAAACUCCUACGGGAGGCAGCAGUGGGGAAUAUUGCACAAUGGGGGAAACCCUGAUGCAGCAACGCCGCGUGAGUGAAGAAGUAUUUCGGUAUGUAAAGCUCUAUCAGCAGGGAAGAUAAUGACGGUACCUGACUAAGAAGCUCCGGCUAAAUACGUG
rnacentral:rRNA from 1 species